rnacentral:rRNA from 1 species
GGUAAGGCUCCCAGUAGACGACUGGGUUGAUAGGCCGGAUCUGGAAGCACGGUAACGUGUGGAGGUGACCGGUACUAAUAGGCCGAGGGCUUGUCCU